GCUGACCAUUCUAAACUUGACAGUUGGCUUACCUGAUUUAUGAUAUACCUUCCACUCCCAUCUGGACUCCAUCCUGUCCACCUCUCUUCUGUUGCUGUCUACAAGUCAGUUUCUAGAAGAUUUAGAAUCCAUGUCAUAUCUUUGCCUUUGAAAUAAAGAGGAGAGUAUUUCUGUUACCUGGAAAUGGAAAGCAAGGAAGUCAACUGGGAUAGUGGCAAAGCAGCAGCAAUGGUCCCAAGAAAAGUUACUUGCUCCUUUCCCAAUUUGGGAUCCUUAAGAUCCUGAGCACAAAAGCAAAGAGAAGUGUGGGGAAUCAAAUUCUACCAUGAAACUCUCAGAGAUAUCUUCUGAGACAGCUGAGAUAACUAAGGCAGAGACACAGGUCCGGCAGAAGCACUAAGGAGUAAAACUGGGUGAAGAAAGAACUAGGUUCUAAAGAACAAGAAGUUGGGCCAGGACCUCCAGAUGGAGAGGAAGACUUCAUUCUGAGCCUUGAAAUCUGAACAGACAACUGGUACCCUUUCCUAAAAGAAAAUUCUGGAGCCAGUAUCUAGGAAUGGUACCUGAGGGAAUAGUGAUUAAAUACUAAAUCCUACCCGGACUUUUAUCAUCCCCCAUCUCCUUUUAAGAAGAGAAUUCACUAUACAGAAACAGAAUUGCCCCUUAGCAAUAUUGUGAGGUUUACAGUUGAAACAUCAGUGGCCCUCUCCUCUUACCUGCACAUGGGAGCUUAGAUUUAGAACUGGGAAUGUGCCUUAGAGAGUAAUUAUCUAGAUUCUCUCAUUUUAUAGAUGAGGAAACAGGCUGAGGUGAGUUAUUUGCCCCAAAUCCCACAAAGAAAUAGCAGAAUAUUAUAAAUAUGUUGCUUUUAUUAAAAGCAUGUAAUAGCAUAAAAUAAACUCAUUGUCA